AUUGAACGCUGGCGGCAGGCCUAACACAUGCAAGUCGAACGGUAACAGGAAGCAGCUUGCUGCUUCGCUGAGGAGUGGCGGACGGGUGAGUAAUGUCUGGGAAGCUGCCUGAUGGAGGGGGAUAACUACUGGAAACGGUAGCUAAUACCGCAUAAUGUCGCAAGACCAAAGAGGGGGACCUUCGGGCCUCUUGCCAUCGGAUGUGCCCAGAUGGGAUUAGCUUGUUGGUGGGGUAACGGCUCACCAAGGCGACGAUCCCUAGCUGGUCUGAGAGGAUGACCAGCCACACUGGAACUGAGACACGGUCCAGACUCCUACGGGAGGCAGCAGUGGGGAAUAUUGCACAAUGGGCACAAGCCUGAUGCAGCCAUGCCGCGUGUAUGAAGAAGGCCUUCGGGUUGUAAAGUACUUUCAGCGGGGAGGAAGGGAGUAAAGUUAAUACCUUUGCUCAUUGACGUUACCCGCAGAAGAAGCACCGGCUAACUCCGU
rnacentral:rRNA from 1 species